rnacentral:ncRNA from 2 species
CGUAAACUUUAGGGGUGUUCUAAAUAUUUAGAACUGAGAAAGACUCUUUGAACCUGAUUUGGUUAGUACCAGCGAAGGGAAAAGUUGAAAAACACAU